rnacentral:rRNA from 1 species
UGGGGAAUAUUGGACAAUGGGCGAAAGCCUGAUCCAGCAACGCCGCGUGAGGGAUGACGGCCUUCGGGUUGUAAACCUCUUUCAGCAGGGACGAAGCGCAAGUGACGGUACCUGCAGAAGAAGCACCGGCCAACUACGUGCCAGCAGCCGCGGUAAUACGUAGGGUGCGAGCGUUGUUCGGAAUUACUGGGCGUAAAGGGCGCGUAGGCGGUGUGUCAAGUCAGGCGUGAAAGCCCCGGGCUCAACCUGGGAACGGCGCUUGAGACUGGCACGCUCGAGUUCGGGAGAGGAUGGUGGAAUUCCCAGUGUAGAGGUGAAAUUCGUAGAUAUUGGGAAGAACACCGAUGGCGAAGGCAGCCAUCUGGACCGACACUGACGCUGAGGCGCGAAAGCGUGGGGAGCAAACAGGAUUAGAUACCCUGGUAGUCCACGCCGUAAACGAUGAGUGCUAGACGUUGGGCCCUCAGGGCUUCGGUGUCGCAGCUAACGCU